rnacentral:rRNA from 1 species
AUUGAACGCUGGCGGCAGGCCUAACACAUGCAAGUCGAACGAGGGGCGGACGGGGGAGCAAUGUCGGGGAAACUGCCUGAUGGAGGGGGAAAACUACUGGAAACGGGAGCUAAUACCGCAUACCAUCGGAUGUGCCCAGAUGGGAUUAGCUAGUAGGUGGGGUAAAGGCUCACCGAGGCGUCGAUCCCUAGCUGGUCUGAGAGGGAGAACAGCCACACUGGGACUGAGACACGGUCCAGACUCCUACGGGAGGCAGCAGUGGGGAAUAUUGCACAAUGGGCGGAAGCCUGAUGCAGCCAUGCCGCGUGUAUGAAGAAGGCCUUCGGGUUGUAAAGUACUUUCAGCCGGGAGGCGUUACCCGCAGAAGAAGCACCGGCUAACUCCGUGCCAGCAGCCGCGGUAAUAC